AUUGCUGGCUCCCGUCUCUCGGUAUCUUUGAUUUGGCCCUGAACUGGGGUACAGGGCAGAGCCCCGUCCGCUGGGAAGGCAGCAUUUGGGUUAAAGAGGCGGAUGCUGCCGAGUUGUGCAUCCCGCAGAGUCCAGGCUCAGCAUCUGUUUGGCCUGUGGGGGUGGCCUGCACUUGCUGGCUUUCUGCACCAUCCCAUGGUCUGUGUCGGUCUCACUGCUUGCACGGUCUCCUUAGGGAAUCACGGCCAGUUUGAAACUUCACUCUGUGCGUUUGAACACAUGUUCACUUGUCCCAGAGCGUCAGGUAUGCAGCCAGACCCUGAGUGUAGGAGGAGAUGGUGCUUCUGCUGCUGCCCAGCUUUGGCCCCUGUGACAAGACACCAGAGGUAGCAGUUUGUGGGAGGGAAGGUUGGUUUGGGCUCAAGAGUUUGGGAGGGCUCAGUCCACUUCUCUUGUUCUGCUGUUUGGGUCUGUGUUUGAGCUAAGCAUCAGCGUUCUUCUAGAAGGCUUGUGGCGCAAGCUCACCUCGAGCUGAGAGAGUGAGAGAAAGGGGGCGGUGGGGAGAGACAGAAAAGGGACCUAGGUCCCUCUCAGUACCCCACCGACCAGUUCUAUUUCUAGGUGGCCCCUCCUCCCACUAGCUCCUUGUAGUGCCUUGCUGGGGUGUUUUAGGGACAUUCUGGCUUUAAAUUAUCCUACUGGCUUGGACUCUAGGCUGACUCCUCUCCAUCUGCCGCUGUGUGUAUGUAUGUGUUGCGGGGGCAGGGGGCUUUCCUUUUUAAAAGUCAUUUACGAAUACACUUUGCCAUCAUUGACAAUGAGAUACUUUAUCGGCCCCUCCCAAAUCUGAAUGUUUCGCUGGUAUGAUUCAUAGAAUUUGUAGACAUUCCCAUUUUGUGACAUCAUUCUUUGAGAAAGGUAUCGUUUAAGGAUGGGUGCAUUAUCCUAUAUAGUACCUGAUAAGUUACUUGUUUGCUGGUGAGAUGAGCUGAUUCAAGCCAAAUUAGAUUGUAUUGAAGGCAGGUUUAUUGGAGAGCUGUGCUUGGGCAAGUUCCCUGGGGGCCAGGGAUUGAGGAGGAGGGAGAGGGAAGAAAGAGAGAGAAAGGGUGCUAGAAGCAGAGAGAGAAGAGGAAGAAAAGGAGGAGGAAGGGAGAGAGGGAAAGGGAGGGAGGGAGGGAGAGAGAGAGAGAGAGAGAGAGAGAGAGAGAGAACGAGAGAGAGUGGGAGCGCAAGAGAGAGUGCAAGAGAGAGCGAGUGCACAAAAUAAUCUGGAUUCUAUAGGGAGGAGCCCCUAGGGGAAGGGCAGCUUAGCCCCUGGGCUGGAAAGUUUAGAAUUGGGGGUAGCGGGGCUGGGGAUUUAGCUCAGUGGUAGAGCGCUUACCUAGGAAGCGCAAGGCCCUGGGUUCGGUCCCCAGCUCCGAAAAAAAGAACCAAAAAAAAAAAAAAAAAAAAAAAAAGGAUUACCAACACACUCCUCACUAAUAUCAAUGUCCUUGGACCAAAUUCAACUGAACUCCUGAUUACUUAGUAUAAGCAAAACAUAGUUCAGUGCCUAGACAAACUAGAAUUGGGGGUAGGGUAUGCCAGGUGGGGACUGGGAGAUUCUGGGAGGACCUGGUGACCCCAUCUGCUUUGAUAGGUAAAACAUGUUGUUCCUCAGUCCCUUGUCCCCAGGCCUGAAUCCAAACAUAGAAGCCUUUUGUAGCUAAUAAAUGAAUGAGGGGCAGCAGAAAUGUCUGACUGCUUCCUGCUGACACUGGGGCACUGCUGUUAAGGGGUCAGGACCAAAGCUGGCUGUUUCACUGUUGUCCAGGUUGAGGGUCCUGGGCACUCUGUGUAGGAGUAUGCAGGCCCAGUUGAAGCAGUCUGUGAGGCUGGGGCAGAGUACCUUCAGCUAACUGUGUUGGAGCUUCUCUGAAUGCAGAUUCUGAGAGAACACCCGGAUGUUAGGGGCAGAGAUAAAGUUUAGGGAGGGAAUCUCUCUCUUGGUCUUUUGGGUGUACAUUCGAAACUCUGAAGCCCAUGGUCUUUCUAGUUGGAGGAGGGGUGGGGUGGGAUGUCCCAGGACUGGGGAAGAGGAUAUAGAUCUCACCCUCUGGAAUAGGCUGGCGGGGAGGGAAACGGGCUGUUUGUUAAUUGACAGUACUUAUCUGAGUCCAUUUGCCUGUGAGAGGAUUCCCUGAAGCUUACAAGAAUCUUUUACAUGUUUACAAAAAGAUAAGUCCUUUCAACAGCAUCCUCCCUUGGUAAUUUCCACAAGUAAGGACAACUCGUUAGCAUAGGAGCGAAGUGACUAGCGUUCGGCCAGCUCCUCUGGCUGUUUAACCCUCCAGGAAGAAGAGUCUCCAUCUAUAAGGUCUGGGGAUAGGGAGGUGAAAUCUGCCCAGAGCAGUGUACCCGAGAGGAGAGUGCUCAUUUUGCUUCGAAAGCCAUAUACCUGUGGGCAGUGCGCCUUCCUGUGUACACACGCCUUCUUUACAGUGAGGAAGAAAGAUACUAGGAGGAGGAGUCAUAAGAGAAUGGGUCUAUCCGUAGAUAAUUCAUGGAAUAAAACUGAAUUACGGAAGUGUGAUUUGUUGUUUCAGACUUGUCUUUUUUAUGGUGUCGGAAACAAACCCAGGACCUCAAGCAUGCUUGCUAGAGCCCUGUGGCCUAGCUGUAUCCCAGUCCUGAACUUCUUUUAAGGAUCCACUCUUUUACUAGGAUGCAACUAAUCCUAGAAGGCUAGUGUUUGACUGCCACGUCCCGUCCCCCAUCUCCAGUCGUCUUCCCGGAACCUGUAGAUGUGACCUUAUUUGGAAAAAGGGUCACCAUGCAUGGGAAUAAACGAUCUUGAGAGGAAGUCACCACAGAUUUAUCUGAGUGAGCUCUAAAUCCAGUGACUCAGACAGAGGGAAGUCACAUGAAGACAGGUGAGUUAGUGCAGUGAAUGUUGUUACAGGGUCAGGGCAGGGGAUGGAAACUGUCCCCCCCGCCCCCACACACACACUGGGCAGCACUGUCUUACUAACUACAGGGUCAGUUUCUCCUGCUCUCUUCCCUUUCCCUCCUUCCCUUUCCCCCUUUCCCUCCUCCCCAUUCUCUUCCCUUUUCUUGUCACAGUUCAUGUUGUGAGUCUUGACUUAUGUCUUGUCUGUCAGUGAGCUGUCAUUCUGUAUCCCUCACAGGCUGGCCUCAAACCCACCGCAGCUGGCCUGCAUCAGCCUCCAAAGUGCUGCUUCCUGGUGCGAGCCACCACACCCAACCGAGCGUGGUGCACAUUUGAUAGAUCAGAACCGUGGAGGACCCCUUUCUGUUGUUUAGCUCUGUUUGUGGUGAUUUAUCACAGCCAUCUUAGGAAACUGACAGUGGGCUCCCAGAAAAGGUGUAAGGGACACAUCUGACUGUUAGUAGCUGCAGACCCUGGUGGUGGGCCAUGCUGACUUGGGUAUUGACUGUGCUUUGAACAUGAUGCGCUCUGUGAGCCCAGUCGGGGGUGGAGUGGUUGUGUGAGAAUAGCUGCUUGGAUUAACUGUGGGCAGAUUGACUGUUCAGAGCCAGGGAGGUGGGAAGGCUGAGAAAUAAGAAUUUUCUCUCAUACACUAAGUUCUUUUGGGGCCUGUCACAGUGGACACAUGGAAGGCUUGAGUGAAUUUAAACUGUUUUCUUGUGAGUAGAAUUUGUUUCCUAACUUUCAAUAAAUACAUUCAUAAUGAAAGUUGGAGCAUACUGGUGUUCUAGUGUACACGUGAGUGAUAAAGGCCUGUUGUGUUAGUUGUAAUAGAGUCUGAGGACUGUAUUUUCACAGGUUCUUGACCCGGGAAGCCUUCGGUUCCUGGCUCACCCCUCAGUGUGCUGGUAGGGUGCAGUUUCACUUUGAAAGGGGUUGGUUUCUUCUUGACUCACCAAGAUCCUGCAGGCAGCCCAUGCAUCAUCUAAGAAGACGGACUUUAAAACAUUCUGCGGCCCGAGGGACCAUUUAGCUGGCAAAGGCCCUUGCACACAAGACUGACUCCCGAGUUUGAACCCUGGAUCCCUCAGUGGAUAGAGAGAAUGGCUUCGGGAAGUUGUUCUCUGGCCCCCUGGGAUGCAUAUGCACAUGUGCGCUGACAGAUAAGAUACAUUUUUUGUUCUUUUCUUUUUUUAAUUCUGCUUUGAAAUUGGUGAAUUUUUUUUUUUUUUGCUAUACUUGAGAGAAGUUCUGAGAUACCUGUUUUUUGAGGCCAUUCUAUUAAUAUUAAAACUGCCUACCUUUACUUUUUUCUUAGUUCCCAGUGGCUAAAAGGUCCCCUUGGUCUCUACAUCUCCCGUCCAGUGGGGACGAUAUCCCAGAAAAAAAGGCCUGGCUACAAUAUCAAUCUCGUCUGCUUUUCCUGUUUUCCAGACUAGAGCUAACUUAAGAGAACACAGGGACAGUUCGUCUUUGGGGGGGUGGGGGGGAGGUCCGGGAGCAUCGCUGUGGGAUGUGUUGCAUUUCCCUCUUCGAUGCUUUGGAGAAAGUGAAUGUCUUUGAGCAUAGUACGUGAAAUGUGUCUGCCCUAGAUAUGCGUCUCGUGGAUGGGGAGACGUGAUCCCCUGUUCCUCAGACCCACGCUUCUGUAUUGACCAGCACUUAGAGGUUAGUCCAGGUGACAGCCGUGUUUCCCACGUGGAUUUCUGUACCUUGGGUGGAGCCAGGAGACUUAGCUUUUGCCCUUGCUGUGGCUUCUUCAGGCUCUCGUCCUUCAACGUGACCUUACUAGCAUACAGGACACGGGGGACCACACUAGCAUUUGAGUCUCUGCUACUGUCAGGGUGAGUCAGAUACAGUCCUGGUUCACCGUCAGGUUCCACUCUAGCCCUGCAUGAAGUUGGGAAGGCGGGAAGCUGCUCAUCUCAGUCCCCUCAGGAGAUCUGGCUCUCUCUUCCUCCUUCCAGCCUUUCAGAGAACAUCUGGAAGUUCAGAGAACAUGCUGAAGGGAAGUACUGGCAGUCAGCCAUGCAGGUAUCCUGUCACCUGCUGGGCCUCGGAUUGAUUCUUGUGCCGCCAGCUUCCUAACAAAUGCCCUUCUUGGUCCAGGAUCUGAUGCAGAAUUCUGACUUGCGCAGUUGCAUAGGUAGGACUGGUGUCUUUGCUCUGUGUCCUGAUGAUCUUAGCAGUCCCCGGUGGUCACCUUCUAGGGUCUCUCCGCUUCUCAUGCAGUAUGUUUGCGCUCUUGAGUAAGUUGAGAUUGUGCAGCCUGGGUUAGAGCGUCUCCACAGGGAUGCUGGACUCUUCCAACAGCAUCUGGAUGUCUGAUUAUUGGCACUGGUACACUAUUUUGUCCUUUAACAGGGUCUUAGGGUUUGUACUGCUGUGAUAAAGACUGUGUCUAAAAGCAACCUGGGAAGAAGGGGUUUCACCUUGCAGUUUGUAAGUCUGUUGUAGGGGAGUCAGGGCAAGGGCCUGGAGGAGGGAACUGGAACACAGAACUCAGAGGACCGCUGCUUACCUGGCUUGCUCUCCAUGGCUUACUCAGCCUGCUUCCCUGUGGCAUCCAGGAUCCCCUGCCCCACUCACCUGGACUGGGUCCUGUUACCUCAGGGAAGAAAAUAGAUCAGUCAAGAAACUGCCCACAGGUUAACCUGGUGGGGGCAUUUCUCAAUCGAAGUUCUCUCUUCUCAGGUGACUUUAUCCUGGUAUUUGGGUUUUUUUUUUUUUUGUUGUUGUUGUUUUGUUUUUUGUUUGUUUUGGUUUCCAAGAUAGGGUUUCCCUGUGUAGCUCUGGCUGUCCUGGCACUGACCCUGUAGACAAGGCUGGCCUUGGACUCAGAGAUCCACUUGCCCCUGUUUCCUGAGUGCCACCACCUUCUGGCAACUCUGUCUUAUAUGAAGCUGACGUAAAACUUGCCGGCACACUUACCAGGCCUGUCCUUGGUGAAAUUGCCACUUUGGGCUGUAGUGUGCGUGCUUUGACGUCUGCAUGCAUGUUGUGUGACUGAGUAAAGCUUGUUAACUUUCCCCUCACCUCAGUCCCUCCCUUCGCCUUGUCUUCUCCCUUCCUCCCUCAACCUCCUCCCCAUGACGCCAUUGAGGUCUGUUCCCUUGUCAGCUUGUAAGGGCUCCAUGUAUUAUUAAUAGCCUUUAUCACGGGGCCUAUACAAGAUCUCUAGUAUUUCACUGGCCCAGAACUUACUGUGUAGCCUGUGCUAGCCUCAGACUCCGGUCUUCCAGGUGUUGGGACUGCAGGCAGGGUGAGCUGCCGCUGUGGGCUGUUCACACACUGGCUUCAGUUAGCAUUCCUGCAUGCUUGGGUUUAGGUUGUAGGGUCCGGCUGCAGGCUCUGAAAGGAGAUGUGUCGAAUUUGACAGUCUGUCCAUCCGUCCUGUGACAGUUUCUGGCUAGUCCGCCUUUGGACAGGGUUGUUACCUGGUUAAAGGAACAACUGACUGAGAAUCCUCUUUGCAGACUGAUGGGUGAGAAAAAGAUCCCCCCCAAACCCCCCCAAUUUGUUCUUUCCGCUGUCUAGGAUGAGCAGUGGGGCCUCUGGGUAGCUGUGUACUUGGCACAUUUUCCGGGAGCUCCAUGUUAAGGCGUGUCUGUGAGGUAAUGACUGACAUUUAAAUCCUGUCAGUGUGUUUUGUUGCUAACACAGCCCGGAAUUGGAAGCUCUGUCUAUAACCUUUGUUGCAACCUCCUAGAAUUUACAUCAGAAUCUGAGCUUAUCUCAGAGUGCCCUCUGCCCGAGUCACCACUGUCCCGGGAGGAUCAUAAAUAGCAAGAGGUCUGUCUGUGCCAAAGCCAACAGAUAAGGUCAUUCAGGAAGGAGAGCCUGCCGCAGCAAAAUAAGACCUUGAGAGGCUUAGUAAGGAGGCCUUUCCAGACCCUCCAGAGCUGUGUCCUCAGUUCAGUCUGUACUGGGCUGGGAGUGGUGUGUAUGUGUGUUGGGGGGUGGGGUGCUGUAGUCUGACUUCCUUGCUGUGCUAAGGGUUGCUGUAGAGGAAGCUCCUCUGUAGGACUCUCCUCUUGCCUUGGAAUGCCCCUUCUGAGAUCAGGUAGGAGAGAGUACACAUGCGCCCACACGUCUAACUACCAAACUUGUAACCAAACAGAGACAAAGAAACUUAAGACUAGCUGUCCUGAGUUUAGCAAAAACAGUGUAGAUAGAUAGCACGAGGCUUCCUGAGUCAAGAGUCCGUUCACUCCAGUGGGCAAGGCCUGCAGCUCUCUGGUCCCCCUCCACCUCAUCUCACUCCUGCUCUGUUCCCCGAGUGCCAGGCAUAUUUAUUCAUUUCACUAACACAGCUCUCGGGCCUGCACCGUUAGAGAAAGUGGUGAUUGCUUUGAAGGAACCACAGACCUUCCUUUGCAGCCCAAGAGCAGAGCAGGAGCCUGUCCCGAAGUAGAAAGCACUGAAGAGAAAACAAGGGACAGGGUCUGAGGGGAGUGGGGCUCUGCAACUAGGAGGCCAGGGACCCUCACUGACAAGGUCCCAUAGGAGUUAGGCUUAAGGCUUAAAAUGUCAGGGAAGAGUGUGUAGACACAGACAGCACCCAAGGGCUAAGGUGGGAGGGUGCUUGUAGCCACAGCAAAAUGCAGUAGAGUGUUCACUGUGCGGGGAUUGGUCAUGGCGGUAAUGACUUCAGAGUUUAUCCCCAGUGAGUAGGGGACCCAGGGCAGGUGUAAUAGGCUUCUUGUCAGUACCGACGGUGGGCAUGGUUGGCUGUGGCAUGGCCUGGACAGGGCUGUGGGCAGAUUCUGGGUGUGUUUUAAAGACAAGUCUAGAGAAGUCUCCAGGCAGGAUGGAUGUAAUAAGAACGCGUGGGGAAUGCGUCAAGGCUUUUCGAAGAGCAGCUGCCUUCUCCUGAGAUGUGAAGCUGCAGCCAAGAACCCCGUCUUGGAUAUUACUUGGAUAUUUGGUUUAAAAUGGUUAUUAAAUAUCUAGACGCUCUUUUAAACAAUGCCAAGGAGAGGGGCACAGUCUGAGCUGGGGAUAAAACUACAGGACUUGUUGUUAUCCCCCCUAACAACCUGCUCUAACGAAAGGGUCGUGAGCCCAGAAAUCUACACACUCCAUCCCCAGGGCGGGCAUUAACCUGGCCUCUCAGAGGAGGAGGCCAUGUUUGUCUGACCUCGGCAUAGGACUUAGAAUUGGCCACUGUGGUCCUUCAGCUGCUAAGGCAUCUGCCACUUGAGACCUUAAGGCCGGGUCUUUCAGUACAUGUUGAACACAGUUAAAAGUCACUGGAAUGUAGAAAAGUUUCAGAAAAUAAGCGAAAGAUGAAAUAUAUCAGUUGACUAUCUCUUAUCCAAAAUGGUGGGGUUGGGAGUGUUUUAGAUCCAGUUUUCUGAUUGUGGAGUGUUUGUAUGGACUCAUCCGAAAAGCUGAAAUCCAAGAUAGCCCCAGAUCUCCAAGUCUGAUGAUUGCUCACUAGAGUAGGGUUUUAGAGCUUUUCAGAUCACUAGGGUGGUUCAGUCAGUACCAGCAAACAGAAAUGGCAGAGCCGAGAAAACUACAGGAAGCGCACUGUGUAGACGGACUUGCCCAGUGCAGCUGAAGGAGGCAGCCGAGUCUGAGGUAUAACUAGGUGGGCAGGUCUGCAGAAAGUUACUCAGAAUUAAGAAAGUGAAUCACAGUGAGACUGAAAGGGUUAAUGUCUAGGCUUCCAAAAGCCCUAGAAGGAGAGAAGAGAAAAGUGAGUCCUCAUAAGUGAAAACAGAAAUGGAGUGAGAGCAGACAGAGCUAAGAGCAAUGAUAAAAUAGGUCUACCAGGUAGAGAGCUGCAGGCCCCAGCAAGUGAGCCAUAGGACUGCGUUCAGACGCAUUGGUACAAAUAAACUUUCUUGUAAGUAGGAGGCACCUGGAACACACUUAUAAAAAAGCAGCGGUUACCAUGGCUGCUUCUGCCUCAGAAACUGUAGUCCAGACACCAAUGGAGACAUUGCGACAUGCUAAAGAGGAGCACCACACACAGAGGGUGGCUCGGCCAGACCCAGCGGUCAAGCACCUUAUCUAAGCACUCAGGAUUCUGAGGCAGGAGAAUUACUGUGAGGUCCAGGCUAGGUCUCACCAAACCCCCCAAAAGAAGGUGAAAUGAGGUAAUGAUCAGAUCAGGGAAAACAAGCAGAGUUGUAUCUCAGACUCAGUAUCUUUACUAACUGUCCAUGAUGGACACGACCACACCAAGACAGUUGAUGGAGGUGCUGGGGCGGCCCUCACUGGCAUAGAUUCCAUUCAGUAAAGUUGACAGCUGUGUGCAAAAAGCAAUAAAGAACUUUGAUUUAAUCUUGGAAAUCUAUGCAAAAAUGAGCUUAAAAUAGAACAUAGAUAUAGAACCACAUGGAGUUUUGAAAUCCACAGAAGUCACACACUUGUCCCAGUGUUGUAGACCCCGGGGGCUCAUGGGAGUCUUGAGCUUGUGAACUGCACUCUGGAGAAGGGGGUGCUGUCGGUGCCCACCCUCAUGGUUGUUGCCUUCGUGCUUUCAACAUGUAGCAACUUGCUGUGUUAAAAGCACUUGCUGCAAAAGCCUGCCUACCUGUGUUCAAUUCCAGGGCCCUGUACAAAGGUGGACAAAGAGAAUCAACCCCGCCACGUUAUCCACCGACCCCCACGAACUCACAGCGAUGACCUUGUGUGUCUGCAUUUACACACUACAUACCCAAUAACAAACAUUCACAAAGUGCACCGCUGGCUCCGGGAGCAGCCCGUUACAUUCCUCAGCUCAGCGUUAUCGCAGUAACCUGAUUUACGUAUUCCUACGGCCAGCAUCUCUGCAUAAGGUUAACAAAUGAUCGUGUGAAUGGUAGAAAGCAGAUGUUUGGAAACCAAGUGUGUUCCAACAGUCAGGUAAAAUGCAUUUAUCAGAGACAGUAAAAGGAGCUACACUAGCUCUGCCUGCAGCCGCCCCGUGUUAGGCAAGUGCUCUGUCAGGGAGCUAAUGCCCAGCCUUCGGUGCUGGCUUUCUGGUCUUCUUCUGCCUCCAGUGUGAAGUCUGAGCUCAAAACCUUAGCUCCGCAGAAUGUGCCUAUGAGCAUUUCAUCUGGGAAUUGGUGUCGAGCUGAUUUGGAAUAGGGUGGUUGGGAAUACUCCGUUUUCCUUUAUAAAAUCAAUACCCACGGCAGCUCAGAGGGCACGUGCUUUGCUGUCUGACCACAGCCUGUGCAGCUGACGCUAACCAGCCCGCAGGAGGCUGAGAAGGAUGAUCCGAGGGCCUGGUGCACUGUUGCCGCCUAAUUGUUGCUUGCUACCAGUUUUCUCCCUUACGAAAACCUUUAAUAGCUUUAACAAGCUAAAAUUAAGGUGCAAUAGACAGCACAUAUUUUAACACACAGUUUGGUAAGUGUCGAUAUAGACACAGGCAUGAAACCGUAACCACUGUGGAGGUAGGGAACAUGCCCAGCACCCCCGUGUUCUCCUGCAGCCCUGGACUGCUCACCGGUCUGUAAAGUGAUGCUCUUCUUUUCUCUCCGGUGCUAGGGGCUGAGCUCGACUGGCCUUGGGUGCUGGGUGAGCACGCUGUCAGUGAGUCACAUCCACAGCCUAGGUGAUCGUGUGACAUCAUACGUGUGCGAUGCUCUCUAUUUGGUUUCAUCCACUCACACGAUUGCUUUUGGGCUCACCCAUACUGUGAGUUUCAGUAUUAAUUUCCUUUCUGUUGCUAAAUGGUGAUGUGUUCUGUUCACGUCCAGCCUUUCUGUGUGGACAGACAUCUGCUUGCUUUUACUUUUGGCUGGCGUGAGUGGAGCCGCUGCGAGUGGUGCCUCCACGUGGCUCAAUGCUUUAUCAGUAAGCUGAGAUGUGGAUGCUUAGACCAAAAUGGUUCAUCCCGCCUGCGUGUGCUUGGCUUCAGCGAGUUGCUACUGGUUCCAGCAGUGUGAGUUCUGCUGUGGGUGGCUUCUCUUUUUUUGGGACAGGGUUUCCCUGUGUAGCCAUGACUGUCCUGGAAUUCACUCUGUAGACCAGGCUGGCCUGAAACUCAGAGAUCCACCCGCCUGGUCCUAAAGGUGUACGCCACCACAUCCAGCCAGCGUCCACAUUCUUAACAUCAUUCAAAGACCUCAGAGUGUUGGUACUGGGGAAGCCUAUCACGUCUGCUCCUCAGGGGUUUGUGCUUGAACUCCUGCCUCCAGCUGGCAGAAUCCACACUGGUCUCCUGCUCUGUUUAGGGUGUUGAGUGAUCUGGUUUAUGUUAGCAGGCAGUCGGUUUUUAUCUGUGGUGUGAGGCACAUCCCUGCCUGUCCUCACAUCACACAUUGAGAAGACUUACUCUGCCUUCGGGUCUCCAUGGAAUUAGUCAGAUUGGCAUCCUGUCUCACGAAUGCCUUUGUCUAGCUUGGUGCCAGUACCACAUGGUGAAUCUUGAAAACACCUGAGUCAGUUUUUCUGCCCUGUUUUUUGGCCAGUUGUUUUGCAGAAUCGUGCUCCUUUUCCUUUCCACACGAGUUUUAAACUCACUGUCAGUUUCUACAGAUUCCUCUACCUCAUUUUUUUUUUUUUAAAGAUAGUUCAUUCCUUUUGAGGGGACUAGGCAGUGCUGGGGAUUAAACCUAGUACCUGUCACGUGCCAGAGUCACCAGGCUACAUUCUCCUGUCAGAGGAGUGAGCACACCCCCAGGCCUGCUAUUUACUGUACGCCUUAUCUAGCCAAAGCACUGUCAGGAUUCCCUGUCCUCAGAGGUGCAGGUGAGCUGGGGCGGUGACUGCAGGGGUACCUGGCUGUGCUCAGGGACUGCCUCUCCUCCGCUGUGGACGAGCUGCUUGCUGUCCACUUCUGUCAGACGUGAGCAGUCUGUCAGAAUUGCAGAAGAAAUGACAGGGGCCCCCAGUGCCUGUGUGUGCAUAAGUGGCCUUUGUCAAGGGAACUUUUGCCACUUGUAAGAUCCCUCCAUGGAACUAGAAUGGCAGUUUACACUCCCCUGCCUCACUUCCCCUUCAUCUAUUUUGCUCUCUUCACAAGAAAGUGGCCUUGAAUAUAUUUCAGGGUCUAUGGGUCACUAGACCUGACAGCUGUGUGCUGUCUGAACAGGUCCUGUGUCAGUCCAUCUGUCUGUCUGUUCAUUGCCAUCAUGGCCUACUCCUCUAAGGCCCCACUCUCCUGUCCCCACUGUCCCUGCUCCCUCCGAUGUGCCUUCCCAACUGGGUGACCCUGAGCUCAGGUGGAGGCUCCCACCCAGGGCCCCUUAACCUCAGCUAAAAAGGAAGCGAUUUUGAUAAACCCUGGCUCGAGGAGCAUUGAAGAAGGAAAACAUGUAGACAUGAAUGACACGUGAUAACACAUACAAAACAGUCCAGGGAGAUUAGGUUUUCGAAUUCUCGUUUAUCUUUUUCCUUUCAUCAUGUGUCGUUGUUCCCGUUCCCUUUCUAAAAAAGGGUUUCUUAAAAACCCCGUGUUGCCUGAUGUCACUUGAUUUUGGUUCAGAUACUAGAGAAAUAUUAGUUCAAUAAGUAAUGAUUGCUGAUAGCCUUUCAGGGUUGUAAGCUGCAGGCGCUGCCGUGCUAACACACAGCAGUUCUCGUCUUAUGUGUAACUCGGAUACAGAGAAGUGUUUCACCAUAGAACCCUUGUGGUUUUCAGCCCGAGACACUCCUCUUAACUAUGAUAAGGAAAUGUCAUGACAUUAACGCUAAGUAGUUCGAUACUUGAAGUGCAUUGAUAGGUUUUUCUGUGACAGACAGAUUGGCUUUCUCGGGGUGAACCAUACACGAUGACCCCGUGUUACUCUGUAGAGCCGAAACUCUCAGACUCAGGGGUUUCUGUGCCUACGGCGCUUACAGCAGGAUCUUUUUUUAUGAUGAAGUAAAUGCAUUUUUUGUUUCUCCUGUUAUCUUGAUGCCAUCUUAAGUAUUUGGAAGAACACGAUUGUCUCGUGUCUAGCGAGUCCUUAGAGUAUCCUGGCCCCUUACUCCCUUGCAGUUCUGUUUCACAUGAGUUUUGCACUUUGACUCAUUGAGAUUUCUUCUCGCAGUGGGCGCACUCUGCCCAGGUUUUCCGAUGAAUUAGCACUGCCGGUGCCCUUGGCCUCCGUGACCCCUACAGAGUUCCUGAGUCCUGUGUUUGCAGUUUGCAGAGCUGCAUGGCCUCUGUGCUCUCAGCCUUGGCCUCAGGUUCUUCACACUCACACACACACACACACACACACACACACACACACACACACACACGCACACUCUCUCUCUCUCACACACACACACUCACACACACACUCACACACACAUACAUACACAUUCACACACACACUCUCACACACACACUCACACACACACAUUCACACACACACACACACACACACUCUCUCACACACACUCACACACACAUACAUACACAUUCACACACACAUACACACAAACACACACAUACAUACACACAUUCACACACAUACACACAUACACACACAUACACUCUCACACACACUCACACACAUACACACACUCACACACACAUACACAUACACACACUCACACACACAUACACACACACUCACACAUACACACUCACACUCACACACACACAUACACACCUGUUCACAGCUCCUUUAAGGCCUUCUGCCCUGGGGAUUUUCUUCUGCCCUGGGUAUUCUCAUUCCUUUCCUUAAGCUUAAAGUUCACAUAUUUAAUUUGCUCAUGUCUAUUUUUAUCUUUAAAUCACGUUGUUUUGAGGGCCGCGCGGAUAAAAACGCCGUGCAGCUAGGUUAAGGUAGCCACUCACUCAGCCACUUGUGCCGUCCGUGCCCAUCACUUGAAUCUCGGCAGCCCUCUCCACAUUACACGCUGGACUCGGAAGCUGCGGUGCUUCCGGCAGGCUCUUCCGUCUCCAUCAAGUACAUUUUUAUUCGUUUACUACCCCGCCCCCCAACACACACACACACACACACACACACACACACACACACGCCCCUCGAGUUACAAGUUACUUUGGGCAGUUUCUACCCUCCAGAAGCGUCACACUCUAUUCUGACAGCGCCUUCCCGACGCUACGCUCAGCUCCGGGCUGUGACUUCAGCUUGGUUUGGUUAAUGCUUUAAUGCCUUGGCUCCUCUUUUUUUUUUUUUUUUUGGUUCUUUUUUUCGGAGCUGGGGACCGAACCCAGGGCCUUGCGCUUCCUAGGUAAGCGCUCUACCACUGAGCUAAAUCCCCAGCCCCGCCUUGGCUCCUCUUGUGACUGCCUUUUAGGGGCCAUAGAAAGAGACUAGCAGUCAUUGGCGGCCUUGGGCUCAGUUCUCUUCUCUUCCGCUCAGCUUUCGCUUUGUGAUCUGAUCUGUCCAGUUAGGAGAGGUGUAUUGCGGUGCCCACUUGCUGUGGUGUCGGUGUGGAUCCCUUGUUUCUUACGGGAUUCUCCUGCCAUCUCCCUGCAGCACUUUUGGGCUUGCUGAGGUCUGGUCUUGGCAUGGUCACCGUCUUGAGCACCCUGGUUCUCCAUGCAGGGUGCUGCCCUGUGCCAUCCCUAUGACAAGUGCUGUGACUGACUCAGGGACAGUCCCAUCUCGAUGCGUCUCUACUCAGCCUUCUCUUUAUUUCCUGGGUGUCUUAGAGCUGGAGUCUUGCCUUGCAGCCCAGGCUGGCUUCCUGUACCAGCCUCCGGAGGCGCUGGUUUACAGGCUCAAGGCCACCACGUGCUUGCCCAGCUACUGUUUCCCACCUCUGUCCCGUGACAGUCUGGGGUUUGUGUGUGCUGUGUAGUGCGUUUCAUCGAGGAGGCCACUUUACCCUGUCCUCAUGUGCCUUACUUGGGCAGAAAGCCAUGGAGUAAAGAUGCCUUGUGUCCCCCUCUGUGUCUGGCUUGUUUCUCACCUUGUGUCUUCAGACCAUUGUGUUAGAGACCUUAUAGACACUUUUAUUUGUUUCUCUGUGUGUGUGUGUGUGUGUGUGCACUCACACACAGACACAUAGACACAUACAGACACACACACACCACAUCAUAAGCCGGGUGUAGUGCUUCACACAGGUCAUCUCAGCACACAGGAGGUUGAGACAGGAGGAUUGUAGCAGUCAGGCUUACACAGUGGAACCCUGUUUCAAAGAAAGAAGUUUUUAAAAAUUCAUAUUUAAAUCUACCAAUCCUCUUUUUUUUUAAGUUUAAAAAUAGAAAUAACAAUCGAGCUAGCAUUAAUUUAUGCAUUACAAAAGGGAAGCCAUUUUUUGUGUGAGCUUCGGUUGUAGCCUGUACAGCUGUUUCAGGAAGCUGUUUUACUGCUCUCUCAAAGGGUUAAUUGUGUCCCUUUCCCAGCCUAAUGAGCCUCAGCUGCUGGUCUUCAGGCUUCGCCUUGCUGUGGCCCUCGCUGUAGAAUGUGCUGUCUGGAAACAUCAGCAGGGCCACUGCCCUUUCCCGGGGCCUUGGAAUUAAUUGAUUAAAUUAAUUAUUCUUAAUAUGUGUGGUCACUAGCACCCCAUGGCAGAGGAAGUCUGGAGACAGACGCGGGGGUUCUUGUUGAGCAGGGAAAUAUAGGGAUGGAAUGUGGCCAGGCUUGGGGUGUGGCCUGGUAGAGCGGCUGGCAUUUUGUGUAGACUUUUGAGACAAGCCUCUCCUUGGUACAAGACUCACUCCUCCAGCAACUGAACGCGCUGAAGAAACCCGGUGCUCGCUGAGUUACGUUUGCCUCUGCCUGGCGUUCAGUAUGUACAGAGCAUUUGCCAUUACGUUUGGCAGCCCAAAGCAAGUGCCCACAAAGUGGGCCAUGACUCUCCUAAGUUCAUUGUCUGUUGAACGUGUAGUAAAUACUGCUUUGGGACCAGUGACACACCGAGCUUACGGUUUCAGAAAGAUGGGGAAACUGAGCUACUCAGAACCAUUGAGCUGGCCUGUGGGCGGCAGUUAGGGGGCUGGAGCGGACCGCUUGACUUCAUCUGCUUGCCCUGAGGCUUUAGGAUGUGACUUGACCCUUGGAGGCUGUCCCACCAUUUAUGUAUGCACGCAUGUAUGUAUGUAUGUAUGUAUGUAUGUAUGUAUGAAUGAAUGUAUGCAUGCAUGCAUGCAUGCAUGCAUGCAGAUCUGUUUUACAUGGCCCUGUGAGGAUACUGUGAGUUUAUGUGAGGACAAACUCGAGUGUUAGCAGGUAGAGGCAGCAGUCGUUUAGCGCGUUUUAUCUGUCCCCCUCUGGCCUUACUUGUCUGAUAAACCAUUACUCCCGUGCACGCAUCAGGAGGUGUGGUUCUUGUAGGACAGCCCACAUGGCCCACUUUAUUCUGGUCAAUGGGAGCUUUUCCAAACAAGCCUUGGUGGGUGCAGCUUAUCAGAGCGCGCUCCCCCCCCCCCCGCCAUCUCCUUCUCUCCGAGAGGGGAGAGAGAGAGAGAAAGAGAGAGAGAGAGAGCGAGCCAUAGGUAGCUGUCAAGUGUUUCCUCCGUUGCUCGUAUCCCUCGUAUUUGUGAUUUAGGGCAGUCUCUUGAACCUGGAGCUGAGCAGUCGGCCGUGCUGGCUUGCGGUCAGCUGCUCCACAGACCGGCUUGUCUCAGCAUCCAAUGCUGUUGGUUACAGCUGUGGCCGCCAUGGCCACUUUCAUGUGGGAGCUGGGGAUCUGAACUCAGGUCCUCGUGCUCUCGUGCAGCAAGCACUGCCCCACUGAGCCCUGCCCAGCCCUUCUCUCGAGUUUCCUAAGCUCUUUUCCUUUUUCUUCAUCUUACCACCAUUUUAAGACAAGGUCAAGAUGUAUUACUGUGAAUUUGUAUUAGAAUUGUUGAGAAUAGGCUGAUUGCCACUCUGGGUUUUACUCUAUUCUCAGUUUUCAUAAACUCCAGCAUAAAGGUUUUACUAAUUCCUCAUGGCCUUGCAGCAGAGUACCUUGGUCUCGUGUCCAUUGGCACUGAGAUCAGAGUCUCAGACAUCCUGCUCCCCUGAGAAGCCAUCUUGUCUCUGCUGCUCUGAGGGUCUGAGCCGUGCUCCUGGGGCACUCACAUAGAAAUGGAGGUUGGGUGGGGGGUGGCGGCGUCCAUACCAGUGUGGCGCUUGUUACGUUUGCGUGCUCAGUACUGCUUGAAAGGAAUCAAAUGAUUUCUCUGAAGUUUGUAUUUAUCAGGACUUUUACCAGGCAGUGCCUGGGAAUUCCGAUGUGCGGUGGUGGAACGUGUGCUGGGGAUGUGGGCCGCGUGUACCUGUGCUGUCUGUUCUCUGUCUCCCUAGUAGUUUGCUUGCUUGUGAGUAGUUAUGGCUCCCUGCCCUGCAGGACCCUGCGAUUCUCAUCCUGGAAACUUGAAGGACCUUUUCCCCGGCUGUGAGAAACUUAGAUGCACAGGCUGAUUCCUUCCUGCCUCAGUUGGACCUUGCUUGCCCUGGGAGAAAGGAGCAGGCCAAGACCAUAAAGCUCAGCUGCACCUGGCUAGCCCUUCAACCCCUCAGAGCGAAGAACGAACGCUAGAGGGGCAGCUCGGCCCUGAAGAGCACCCACUGCUCUCCCAGGAGGACCCAGCGUGUACACGGGGCAGCUCACAGCCCUCCGUGACUCCAGGAGGGGAUUCCAUUCCGUCUUCGGGUGUUUGAGGGCACCUGGACAAUGUGUCGCAUCCACAGACACAGAACGACUUUUUUUUUAUGAUGAAUAUUCAGGAACUGUUUGUAUUUGCGCUUGCCUAAAUUUCAAGUGGGUAAAAAGCAUCAGUCAGAAGCGUCAAAGACGGUUUUAUAAAGGCUGCCCGUGGAAUUUUUAUAAGUCAGUGACUGCUCUGAGUCAGGCGGCCCCCACCCAGUGCUUGCCAUUUGGAGUGCUAAUUAUUAUUAUUAUUUUGCUGAUUUGCCUCAUGAAUGUGCACACAUGCGCACUAAUUCUGGUUCCAUGCAAACAUUCCAUGACAGCCCUUUCUGUGUGUGACUUUAAGGUACCAUUUCUAGCCCCAGUUAAAACUGUAGAACCUUGCUGUUCACUUGAGCUGUGGUUUGGCUGGCUUUAGCCGUUGUCACUUACUACGCUAAUUAACAGCCACACCUCCAGCACCUUAGAGCUAGCGGACAGCAUCCUCUUCUCCUGAAGCCCUUGGAGCCCAGGCUACAGGCACGCAGGGAAGGGUCUUGCUGACCAGGCCUCCGUUUUGAAUCUCUGGGCCUGCUCUGUAAGUUUGAGUCACUGCCCACAGAGUUUGUGACCUUGUCCCUGUCUGGAAAGAGUGUCUGUGGCAAGGCUCUUCUCACGGGUGUAAGGCUCCUUAGGGUGCAGGCCUGCUUGAGGCUUGCGACAAGAUUCUUCAUCAUUUCUGGUGUUUUCCUGAGGCUGUCCAAAAAUCUUCUAAGUAAACACUUCACAUCAAUCAACCAGAAUUAUUGUCUUCUUGGUCGCUAGCGGCUGUGUGUGUGUGUGUGUGUAGGGGCUUGGGGGAGGGACUGGUGGUUGAGUGUGCUCGCUGUUCUGCCCUGGAGGGUGCUGAGUCAGUGCGUGGAAAGUAAUGUGAUCACUUGACCCCGGGACUGUGCUUUCUCUUGUAACAGUGUCCAACCCAGGGUCCAGGACAGCUGUGGAUGCAGCCCAGCACAAAAUUGUACUGAGGGUUUCUGUGUGAUUAUUUUCCUCCUUGUAAUUUGAUUUAAUGGCUCUGGAGAAUAAAAUUUAUAGACUUUGCGGAUGUCAAAGGGAUGGGCACACCUGCUAGAAUGUUCCGUGCUGACUAAUUCUUAGUGGAUUUCCCCUUGGUCUUUUGAGACAAGGUCUGGGAGACAGAUGUGUAUCUACUAAGUACUUUUCUGAGUACCAAACAUGUAACAGACUUUCAUAUGUAGGCUAGAAACACAGCUCACUCAUCAAGGAGGGCAAAACUGCUUUGGCUGUGUUUUAGGAAGCAGACACAUGCGCAGAAGAGAUUGCAUGCUACCUGGUGAUCAUUGGGGUGAUUGAAAGUGAGCAUGGAAGACAGGCGUGUUGGACAGAUUACUGUUAUGGUGGCUGUAUGGACAGACACAGUGGGUGUGUGGACAGCAGUGUUUCACUGGGAGUGUGGACAGCAGUGUUUCACUGGGAGUGUGGACAGCAGUGUUACACUGGGAGUGUGGACAGACACUUACAACGGGAGUGCUGGAAGGAACCUGGUAGUCUCAAGUGGAUGUUCUAAGAUUGUUGGAUUCUCUUCCCAUUUCUGCUCUUAUCAGGAGGCCCAGGAAGAUCCUUCUCAGCUUUGAAGUGUCCUUCCCCAUGGCCUCCUGGGGCCCUGGAGCAGUGUGGAAUGAGUUUGGACUUGCAGUCGGCGUAGGCUGGAGUUUUAAAAGUGCACGAGGGUAUAAGUUCGCAUCUGCAUUUCCCUACAAAAGUCUGAGCCUAUGGACCAUGAACUUGCUAAACCUGGCUGUGCUUUGUUUGUGCAGACGUCUGUUUUAGCUGUUGCCCUAUACACAAGGAAUCUGGGGCAGCACCGGCCUUUACAAUAACAUAGCUGCUUUGGAAGCUGCUUCUGUGUUUCCUCAUUUAGCACCAAAAACAUUUGACACCCAAUACGUGCAAACACUUAUGUAAUGCACGCAGGAAAGUCUGGGAAUCGCAGAAAGUUAAUGCAUGUCGGGGAGCGCGCAUUGCUUUAUGGAAAGGCUGAUAGAAUGCGAUUAUUCACCAACCAUAUAUGUUUACUAAAGUCAUUAUCAUAAGCAAGGCCUAUUAAAUGCUCUCCUAUGCUCUCCACUAAGUGUCUGAUGACUGUUUAUUUUUGUCGGUGUGAAUAUUAAAGAAAAGCUAAGCAGAAGCAAUCUUAAUAUCUUGUUGAUUACGUUCCAGAAUAAAAACGGCAGAACAUUAAGCCUGCACGCCAUUUGCUAUAAUUACUCCGAGUGGGAUGUUGCUGGAGCUGUCAGGCUGUGAUUGAGGCUCACUGAUGGUUGGCACCAGCUGCGUGCAUUAAUUGUCUGCAGCAAGCGCACCCCACAUUCACUCGCCAUUUGGAGACACACGCUUUCCUGUUCACCGCGCUGUAAAGCAUCUCACGAAUGAGUGAGGAGGGACGCCGCCUGCUCCCAGAUUUAGCUGUCACCUCCUGUCCACAGAGUCCAUUCACUCAGCCCCACACAGCUCUGUGGAUGUGAGCUCCCUGUGCGGCCAAGCAUCUGGAGGGGCACUGGGGUUUAUUUCGGAGACCUUCGGCAGCCUGUUUCUGAUAAGGUUUAGGGGCUCUGACCGUUUAACUCUUCCUAGGCACAGGGAUUCUAACAUCACAUUAGACGUUUUAAUAAGGCAGUCCGACAGUGAAGCGCCUGUUUUCUUUUCCACUCAGCUUCCAAGUGGGCUUUUCCAUAGAUAUUUAAUCCUUGCAAAAUGUCGGUAUUUCCAGAAGCACCGAGACACAUCCAUUUUCGUUAAAUGAUGACUCCCAGUUUGCAAGUUCAUUCGGACUGUGCCCAGGUGUUUGUGUGGGUGAGUCACUGUGGCGUUUGAUGGGCAGGUACCUCAUAGAGCGGCAUGCAGGUUGUGCCAUUCUGUCGGGUACAGCUCUAACGCUUAUUUACCACAGGCGGAACCGAGCAAAGAUUCCAAGUGUUCAUUUAUACUUUCUGCCUAAUGGGAUGUCUGUUUUAAAUCGUAAGGCAACCCAAAUAACGUGACUGUGGCUUCCCAGUGCUUAUGCUGGGAAGUAUCUCAGGGUUAUUGUCUGGUGACUCCUGAAGCUCCCUAGCUGCUGUUUGGAGCCCGAACCUGUCAUGUCUCCUGAAAGCAGUUUCCCUAGGGCACAGAGCCCAACUGAGUCCUCACACUGGCAAAGAGCCAGGUGUGCACGUGUGAGUGAGUGUGUGCUCCUCUGUCUUGGCCCCUGGACCUUCCAGUGGGAGGCGCAGUGUUGGCAGAGGUCUGCUGGGUGCUGUGAAACUCCCAUGAGCUCUGUCACUUCAGAAGCCCCUCCUCGGUUCUGAGGGCCUUCCAUAAGUCCUCUUUUCCUUGGGCUAAGCAAAGUCAAUCGUAGUUGCUCAAACACCUUUGAAAGAAUGUAAUUGGUUUAAGAAGUGUGUGCUGGGUUGGGGAUUUAGCUCAGUGGUAGAGCGCUUGCCUAGGAAGCGCAAGGCCCUGGGUUCGGUCCCCAGCUCCGAAAAAAAGAACCAAAAAAAAAAAAAAAAAGAUUUAAAAAAGAAGUAUGUGCUUCCCAAAGCCGGAGUGUGAUGUAUGUACCUAUAAUCCUGAUACCCAGGCUGCACACACUGUGAGUUCCGGGCCGGCCUGAGCUACCUAGCCAGACUCUGCUUCGUUUUACAUUGUACUUAUUUUAUUGUUGUUUGAGGUAUUCAGGAAUGCAUACGUAUAAAUGCGUACGUGUCCAUCAAUUUCCCUCCCUCCCAAUUCUUCCCCUGCCACCAACAUUUUUCUCUCCCAACAUCAUAUCCUCUUUUAGUGUAAAAAACCUACUAAGCACACUGUUUAGACGUGUGUGGGUGUGGGGAUGUCAUCUGCCGGAGCCUGGGCAGCUUCUCCUGAAGAGAGUGGACUUCUCCCAGCAGCCAGCAGUUGCCAGUAGCUCCUCAGCUGGGGGAGGGGCAUCAUGAGCCCCUCCCCUUCCAUGUUGGGAUUCUGGCUGGCUUGGACUGAAACACAGACCGUGUCCCAAAACACACAAAGCCACGGACCAUCCUUUCAGAGUCUAAUACCAACCAAGUCUUGAUUUUAUCGCACAUGGUCUCCUGGCAGACGUGAUGGCCUGGUGCUGCCCCGGGGCCUGGUCUUCCAGCCAGGUGCUCACCGCCAUGCUCUGUAGCUUGGGUUUGGAGGUUGGUUUUGUGAGGUCUGCCUAGUGCUGUCUCCCAGCGCCUCAGUAUGAGAAGCUACAGCAGGUCCCCAAAUCUGAGCUGCGUUUGGUGAGCAGGCAGGCAAACUCUCAGAGCAGGGCUUACCCUGAAUUCUUAUGUAGUGAAAUAUCAUUCAAAUAAGCCCAGCGUCCUGCCGCUCCUGUUUUAUUUAAGGUGGCCCUGUCCAGGCGAGAAGGAGAAUAGACUAUUACAGCAUUACCUUUUGAAAUCCAUUCAGAGUAGAAUCCCUCUGAAGGCUUGAAAGGAAGCGAACCGUGCUUGUUUGAGUGUGAGCUAAAGUGGAGAGUGUUCAUUCGCACGGAGGACUCGGCACGCACACAGAGAGAGUGCCUUUCUCUGUCAAGUCUUUCUACCUUGGAUGGAUCCCGCCGGCAGGCAUUUAGCCUAUCUAAAUUAGCCCAUCUUUUGUGAGGAAGUUGAUGAGAAAAUGUCUUCUUGGGUAGGUAGAAGAUGCUAGGCAUCUAAAACAUCCGAUCGUAGCCCCUCACCAGGCUACGUCCUCGUGUGCAGUCACUUAGCCCCACCUUCCAACGUUGCACGAGGUGCCCUGCCCCUGGGUGUAUUUACAAGGAUCUCAGUGAAAACGUGCAUGGGUCUACUUAAAUCGGGUAUUGAAGCAGCUACAGCUAGCAUGCCGCCAUUAAAACUGGAAGGCUCUGGGGAGUUUUAAAUAGUCUCGCUUCUCCCAGACGGCGUCAUCUUUGCACAUCCUCGGUGCUUAUGGACGCCCCCUUCCCCAUUUAGGAUUGAGUCCUUUGUCCUUUACUGAAAUGUCUCAUGGGAAGGGGCACCCACGGGUAGUGCUGAGGAUGUAGGCAGCAAACACUUCACAUGUGCAGAUCAGCCCUUGGGAAAUGUCUGGGGUCAUGGUCUCAUCCCUGGAGACAGUGCCGUAGAAUGAGUAGGUGUGAAGAGAAAGAGGAGGUCACUGCAGCCACACCGGGGCUCUGCGACUCUUUAAAUGCUUGUCCCGCCCCAGGUAAUUAAGACUAUAAAACUCCAUUUAAGUAUUAUCUGAGAAAAGCGCAUGGCUAAUGCCUCUCUCUGAUUGGCAGAUGAUUAUUUUAACCGCCCACUGGAGUUGAUAAGUACUGGUGUCUCUUGAUGCUGUUCCUGAAGGCUGUAUUUGGAGAACUCAGCACUGAUUGAGCAGUAUGAAUGGAGUGGGUGGUAAACAUGUGUGUCUUCUCCAACUACCACCUCAGCUUAGAGGUUUUUACCGAGUCCCGUAAGCUACUGUUGAGGGAUCUAGUCAUUUUUCAUUCAGUAGAGAGAAAAACACCGCCUCGAUUCAGGGCAUUCUAGAACUCCGGUCUCGCCUUGUUCUGGAGUUCGUUGUUCCCUGUGUCUAGCCACACUGAAACAGACCAGCUUCGCCUUUAUACCUUGAGUACCUAGGAAAUCGGGCAGAUCUAUAAAACAGCUAUUACCAGAUACUACACCACAGAUAUUACAGGCUUGUGAUCCAAUAGGAAGAUCUAAAAUUUCCAUGCCUUUCUGCAUACCACCAUUAUGCAGAAGGGAGGAAUACAUUAGUUGGGUGACUGGAAGUGUGAAGUAGGGCGGAGUGCAUUAGGUGGGUGACUGAAGUGUCCCGUAGGCCUGAGUGCACACCUUUCUGCAGACCACUGUAUGUAGCAGACUGGGGUGCUGGGGGUGUGUGUGGGGGGGCACGAACAGAAGUACACAGCAAGCCAGAAAGCUUUAGGUGGGUGACUGGAAGUACACGGCAAGCCAGGGUGCACUAGGUGCGUAUCGGGCAGUAGCCACACAGCAAAGCUCCACAAAUGUAAACGAGGGCGGCCUUGAAUUUGCUACUGCAUGUUAGGACGUUUUGCGAUAUGUUAACGUAUACAAGCUCAAGCAAAGAACCGUCGGGAAACUGUAAGAACAACCUGCAUUCACCAGAGUCACCGGGUGUUGCCUGGGAAAUGGCUGAAGAAGCCUGUGUACAACAUACUGGCCAACAAGCGACAUUUGUUACUCCGUGGUUUCUACUAUAAGCUCCUGCCUUUAAUGUCACUCAGUGGUAGACUGUGACCUGGAAAUAUGAGCCAAAUAAUUUCUUUCCUAAGUUGCUUUGGGUCAGAGUGUUUUGUCACAGCAACAGAAAGGAAGCCAGAGCGCUGUUUAACCAAUAAACACAUUGUUAGACUCAGGGCGACAAACUGGAAACAUGUGAUGACUUCGAUAAACAACAGAACGGGGCCUCAAAAACCUAAGGUAAACAUGGGGAAAGGAGGGAAGGCAAAAGCCAAAGCCACAUGGAACUCCCAGGGCAGAAUGAGCAGGACGAAAUUAAAAGCGAACUAGACACGGCAGAAGAAGAGCUCAGUGAGUCCGACCAUGUCUAAAGCAAACAGCGCAGAGGAGAAAACCUUAAGGAGGCCAUGACUGGGCUGUGGACCGGAAUCAUACCUGACUGAAGGAAGUACUGACCAGAGUUUUCCAGAACAGCUACAACUAAUGACUUACUCUUUAAAGACUUACAUUGUGUAUUGUGGGUGGUGUCACGGGGAGAUUUAAAAGUACAGAUUUAUAUCAUUUUCUCUCAGCUUUUUUCUCCCCCACAGAACCUACUGAGAAAGAUAUUGCAGAUUGGCACCUAGAAAGGAAAGGAGAGGAAAGGAAAACCGUAUAGCUAAUAAGCAGGCAGUAAAGACGGAGCAGGAUGGAAGCCGUGAAGGACAGAUGAAGAUUAGAAACGGGAAGGCAUAAGCGAGACUGCGUUUCACUAAAUACAUAUUUUUACACAAUGCAGUUAAAAGGAAGAAGUCAUCAGGCUGACGAAACAGCUCACUUAGGUGCUGUUUAUAGGGAUGCCUUCCUGACUAAGGCAGAACGGGCUGCAGCCAGGGAUGGGGGCGUGCAUGCCAUGCUGCAGGUACAGAAAAGACACUCCUGGGGACGAAGGGUGACAUGUGCUCAGGCAGGAGUAACAAACCCUCAGAAAACGAAAAGUGAAAAAGGAGAAGGUGGUGGGGCGGCUGAGGCAGGAGAGUCGCUGUGAGUUUGAAGCCAGCCCGGUAUACAUAGUGAGACCAUUUCAAAGACUGAGAAGAGGAGAACACACUACUGAAAGUUGCUGUUUAUGUAACGCCAGGUCGAGACAGCGUUUGCACACAUGGGAAACCUGGGCUGCCCUGUCAGGGGCUGGCCGCUGUCUUCACAGCACCCCACACGGCACCUGAACUCAGACGGGCUUGCGAGACCAAGUGAUGAGCCCUGAGUAAAACCCCCAAAGGUUUAGAAUUGAAACCACGCAGAAUAUCUACCCUGACUCCAGCAGAGUCAGUGAC